AUUGAACGCUGGCGGCAUGCCUAACACAUGCAAGUCGAACGAGUGGCGGACGGGUGAGUAAUGUCUGGGAAACUGCCCGAUGGAGGGGGAUAACUACUGGAAACGGUAGCUAAUACCGCAUACCAUCGGAUGUGCCCUGAUGGGAUUAGCUAGUAGGUGGGGUAACGGCUCACCUAGGCGACCAUCCCUAGCUGGUCUGUGAGGAUGACCAGUCACACUGGAACUGAGACACGGCCCAGACUCCGACGGGAGGCAGCAGUGGGGAAUAUUGCACAAUGGGCGCAAGCCGGAUGGAGCCAUGCCGCGUGUAUGAAGAAGGCCUUCGGGUUGUAAAGUACUUUCAGCGAGGAGGCGUUACUCGCAGAAAAAGCACCGGCUAACGCCGUGCCAGCAGCCGCGGUAAUUC
rnacentral:rRNA from 1 species